AACAAACGCUAGCGGCGCGUCUUAAGCAUGCAAGUCGAACGGUAAUGUGCCUUCGGGCACAUGAGAGUGGCGAACUGGUGAGUAACACGUAGGUGAUCUGCCUUAUGGUUGGGGAUAGCUCAUGGAAACAUGAAUUAAUACCGAAUACCUUCUUAUUACUAUGGUAGUAAGAAUAAAGGUGCUUUGGCACCGCCAUUUGAUGAGCCUGCGGCAUAUUAGCUUGUUGGUAGGGUAAAGGCCUACCAAGGCAACGAUAUGUAGCCGGCCUGAGAGGGUGUACGGCCACACUG
rnacentral:rRNA from 1 species